GGAUUAGAUACCCUGGUAGUCCACGCCGUAAACGAUGUCAACUAGCCGUUGGAUUCAUUUAAGAAUUUAGUGGCGCAGCUAACGCAAUAAGUUGACCGCCUGGGGAGUACGGCCGCAAGGUUAAAACUCAAAGGAAUUGACGGGGGCCCGCACAAGCGGUGGAGCAUGUGGUUUAAUUCGAUGCAACGCGAAGAACCUUACCAGCCCUUGACAUCCAGAGAACUUUCUAGAGAUAGAUUGGUGCCUUCGGGAACUCUGUGACAGGUGCUGCAUGGCUGUCGUCAGCUCGUGCCG
rnacentral:rRNA from 1 species